rnacentral:rRNA from 1 species
CCUACGGGAGGCAGCAGUGAGGAAUAUUGGUCAAUGGGCGAGAGCCUGAACCAGCCAAGUCGCGUGAAGGAUGAAGGAUCUAUGGUUUGUAAACUUCUUUUAUAUGGGAGUAAAGUGAGGAACGUGUUCCUUUUUGUAUGUAGCAAAUUACUAAGCAUCGGCUACCUCCUUGCCAGCAGCCGCGGUAAUAUGGAGGAUGCGAGCGUUAUCCGGAUUUAGUGGGUUUAAAGGGUGCGUAGGUGGUUAAUUAAGUCAGCGGUGAACGUUUGUGGCUCAACCAUAAAAUUGCCGUUGAAACUGGUUGACUUGAGUAUAUUUGAGGUAGGCGGAAUGCGUGGUGUAGCGGUGAAGUGCAUAGAUAUCACGCAGAACUCCGAUUGCGAAGGCAGCUCACUAAACUAUAACUGACACUGAAGCACGAAAGCGUGGGGAUCAAACAGGAUUAGAUACCCCUGUAGUC